rnacentral:tRNA from 1 species
UCUAAGAGAAUUCUAGAAUACGUUCUAGAAUUUAGAAAUAUUAUGUUCACCACCUUCACAUUCCUUUAUUGAAGUUUCCAAAAGGGCUAGUAGCUCAGUUGGUUAGAGCACACGCUUGAUAAGCGUGGGGUCGGAGGUUCAAGUCCUCCCUGGCCCACCAUUAUAAGGGGGCGUAGCUCAGUUGGGAGAGCGGUAGCUUUGCAAGCUAUAGGUCGUCGGUUCGAUCCCGUCCGCCUCCACCAACAUAGCCAAAUGGGUGUUUUUGAAAUGUGAAUAAUGAUUAAGUAUUGAAAAAUUUAAUUUCUUCUUUUUUAUAUUUUGUAUAAAAAAAGUUUGAGAGUUCAAUAAAGUAUGAA